ensembl:lncRNA
GCAGAUUGCAAUUCUUUGCUUUUCACAUUUUUGUGUCUGUGAUGGAAGCAUUUUGUUUGUGCUGUGUAUGAAGAAAAUGUAUGCCACACUGGAGUGUGGUGAUAAGAUCAUGUUUCUAUGGUAUCGCUUUUUUCCGAGUAUUUUGGUAUUUUCAGAUGUUAUCUUCUUAGCUUUCACAGCAUGCUAGGAAGAAGGAAAGACAUGUUGUUCUCACCUAACAGUGAAAUUGAGGAGCGUGCUCGUGGCGGUAAAGAUUUCGUGAACGUUUCAUGCUGUUCGUCUGUUACUCGGCAUCUCACUAAGUGGUUUUUUGGACACCUACCUACUGGAAUUGUCUGAAGGAGCCCUGGAGAAAAGGUAGGUGUGCUUGGUGGUGAAAGACAAUGGACAUUGGGCUGUUCAUUCCCAGGAUGGACUGGUUGCGGAGAGGGGUUGAGAGGGUGGGGGUCAGAAAGAGGAGACUGAAUAUCUUAGCCCCUUCAGGAUUGGAUCUUCAGGUCGCCAGGAGUAUUUUGUUUGGACGAAAUUGCCAGGGUAUUAGACAUUCCCAUAUUUAAAUAUGAACAUGCUUCACAAAUACGUCUCUAGGUCGACUAUAUAUAAUGUUUUGAUUAUCUGAUCUGGUCAGUCACUCACAUCGCUAUUGCUAUUAGCAGUGGAUGACAGUCAGCAUUAGCUCACAAAAAGUAAGCCCUAUGUUUGUGCAGCUUUAAACAUUUUAGUGUUUCACAGUACCUGCUACAGGCUGAAUUUGUCCCCCACCCACACCUUCAUAUAUUCAGUUUAACCCCUAAGGUGAUGGUAUUAGGAAGUAGAGCCUUUGGGAGGUGAUUAGGUUGAGGACAGAGCCCUUAUGAAUGGGAUUAGUGCCCUUAUAAAAGAGACUCCGGACAGCUCCCUUGCCCACUUGUACCAUAUGAGGACACAACGGAUUUGUGACCUGGAAGACGGUUCUCUCAACCAUGCUGGUCGGCACCCUGAUCUUGGACUUCCAGUCUCCAAAACUGGGAGAAAUCAAUUUCUGUUGUUUAUAAGCCACCCAGUCUGUGGUUAUUUGUUAUAACAGCCUGCAUCUAUACUCCACAUUUAUGGUUCUUACAAAAACACUCUCAACGAGGGAGAGCUGAUAUUAUGAUCAUUCUCAUUUCAUGAGUGAAGAAACAUCUACAGAGGGUUUAAUUAAUUUAGUCCUAAACUCAGGUUUCUGGGAAGUGGCAAAGGUAGCGUGGGAGCUCUGCACUCUGCUUUUCCUGUGGGAAAUAUGGAAGCCUAUGGGAUCCUGGAACAGAAAAAAAAUACUAGUUUAAAAACUGGCGAAAUCGUAAUAAAAUCUGUAGUUUAGUUUAUAGUAAUAUACCAGUGUUGGUUCCUAGUUUUUACAAAUGUACCAUGGUCAUGACACUAGAGACAAAGGGGGACAAUCUGAGCAAUUACUAUUUUAGAAAUACGUGAGUAGUACAGGAGGCAUAAAUAAGAAUUUUGGAAAAAAAUACUGAAUAAGUGGUCAGAGAGUUAUGGGGAAAAAUAGAAAUAAUAUCACCUAAGAGCAUCAAGGUUAGAAAGAACUGAAGAAAAGUCAGUAGUGUCAGAUGCAAUAUCCCAUUGCCAUAGCAUCUAGCUAGACUCAUCUGUUUCCAACGCCUGCUCUGCCUUCGGGGUUCCCUUGCGAUAGAAUGGCAUUACCACCCCCAAGUUGCGAAGCCAGAAACCAGGGACUCUUCCCUCUUCCUGAGCCCUAUAUUCAGUCAGUCACCGCAGCCUAUGGACUCCAUUUACAAAGUCUGUUCCAUUUCUUUUCCUUUUUCUUUUUAAGAUUUUUUUUUUUUAAUUUAUUCAUUUGAGAGAGAGAGACAGAGGGAGCACACAAGUAGGGGGAGAGGCAGAGGGAGAAGCAGACUCCCUGCUGAGCUGGGAACCUGAAAUGGGGCUCAAUCCCAGGACUUGGAGAUCAUGACCUGAGCUGAAGGCAGAUGCUUAACCAUCUGAGCCACCCAGACACCCCCAGAGUCUGUUCCAUUUCUUCAUUGCCAAGUUGAGACGUCCAGCAUCUCCCUUAUCUGAACUGUUUAUGGCUCUACUGUCUUACUUGGUAGCCCUGUUUCCUGUCUUGUCCUCCUUCUUCCCAUUCUCUAGGAUUUUUUUUUUCCCCUUCUCUUUUUUGAUUUACUAUUUUUUACUCUUAGAACUUUUAAAGGUAGGGAAAAUCCAAGAGAAGAGAAUAACAGUCAUCCAUAUUCUAAUCACCCAGAAUUAAUCACUGUUGACAUAUUAUUUAUUUGCUGCCAGUUUUUCUUUUGAAAGAAAAAUCACUCUUUUGUUUUCUAAAAGUAAAAUGACCUGCAUUCCAUAUAAAGUAUUGAAACAAGAUAAAAGAAUUACAAAGAUGAAAGUUUAGAAAUCAACUCCGGUCUCAUUUUGCAGAAAUUAUCAUCACUAAAUUAGUAAGCAACAUUCUUGUUUUGUCUUGAUACAUGGAGUGAUCUUUCUAAAUGAAAACUGAACCAGUCUUAUUCCCAUUCUUAACAUCCUUCAGUGUUCCAGUAUAAUCAUGGGGAAAACAUCAGGCAAAUCC